rnacentral:pre_miRNA from 1 species
CUAGUACUCCCUCCGUCCGAAAAAACUUGUCCCAAGCUUGUUCCUCAAAUGGAUGUAUCUAGCACUAACUUGGUGCUAGAUACAUCCAUUUGAGGGACAAGCUUUUUCAGACGGAGGGAGUAGGUA